rnacentral:tRNA from 1 species
GCCCCGGUGGUGUAGUCCGGUACCCUUUGGCAAGCAAAGGCCAAGAGUUGGACAAACUAUCAUACUGCCCUUUCGAGGCGGUGACCUGGGUUCGAAUCCCGGCCGGGGCA